rnacentral:rRNA from 1 species
UACGAAGGGUGCUAGCGUUGUUCGGAAUCACUGGGCGUAAAGCGCGCGUAGGCGGCGAUACAAGUCAGAGGUGAAAGCCUGGAGCUCAACUCCAGAACUGCCUUUGAAACUGUAUUGCUUGAGUGUCGGAGGGGAUAGCGGAAUUGCUAAUGUAGAGGUGAAAUUCGUAGAUAUUAGCAGGAACACCGGUGGCGAAGGCGGCUAUCUGGACGACAACUGACGCUGAGGCGCGAAAGCGUGGGGAUCAAACAGG